rnacentral:lncRNA from 8 species
AUGACGAUGGGGUCUCUCGAUCCAAAGGCUGGGAGCGAAACACACGCUUCAACAACUUUAUACUCCCUCUACAUCCGCUCCUACAGCAACGGCCUGGACUGUGACGAGAGCUGUGAACGCUCCGAACCUUGUUUCCCCAUCCAGGUCAGUCACAGCUCUGACAUCACAUCCCACAGCCUUCACUUACAGCAUGCACUACGACUAUACAGCCAUCUCUGUAUAUCUUGCCCUUUUCUGCACUCUUACAAAAAAGGGUUCCAAAUGGGUUCUUUGCAGAGGGAUAGGGUUCUACCAAGAACCGUUUUGGUCAGAAGAACGGGUACUUUGAUGAUUCUUUGGAAGGCAAGAAUAAUUAUUUGGAACGAGGGUUUUACAUAGAACCAUAUAUAAUAUUUCCCAGCAUGCUCUAUUGCAGGGAGAUUUUCAGAAUUGUUGUUUAAUGUAAUGUCUGUGUUUUUGCAAGUACAUUGAUUGGUUGAUUUAAUUUGAUGCCUAACAAAGAUAAAUAACAUACAGUUUUCUAAACUAAUCCAAUCUAUUAGUAAUUGGAUUUAGAUGAUUGAGGUAGUCUCAGUAUUCAAUCGUCCCUUCCCUGGCAGUCAUUCUGAACGCAGGUUGCGGGUGAUUAAUUAACAAUUCUACUUGUUGGAUAUCCUAACUCUGUCUAGAUCCCAAUAGGAAUUAUACAUCAUUUUGCAAGCCAUCAUAAUGUGACUUCCAGGCCUGAUGUGGACACCUUCCUAAUGCUGAGUUGCCCCCCACCAUUUUGGCCUCAGAUUAGCCUCAAUUCGUCGGGCAUGGACUCUACAAGGUGUCGAAAGCUUUCCACAGGGAUGCUGGCCCACGUUGACUCUAAUGCUUCCUACAGUUGUGUCAAGUUGGCUGGAUGUCCUUUGAGGGGUAUUUGUAAUUAUUAUGGGAUCCCGAUUAGCUGCUGCCUUGGCACAUAUCUACAACACAAAAUCCACAUGUGUGUAUAGUGCGUAUAUUAUCGUGUGUGUAUGCAUGUGUCUGUGCCUGUGUUUGUGUCUCUUCACGGUGUCCACUGUUCCAUAAAGUGUAUUUUUAUCUGUUUUUUAAAUCUGAUUCUUCUGCUUGCAGAAGUUACUUGAUGUG